AUUGAACGCUGGCGGCAUGCCUAACACAUGCGAGUCGAGCGGAUGAAGGGAGCUUGCGCCUGUCUUCAGCUGCGGACGGGUGGGUAAGGCCUAGGAGGCUGCCUGGUAUUUGGGGAUAACGUCCGUAAGGGGGCGCGAAUACCGCAUACGUCCUUAUGUAGAAAGGGGUGGAUCUUUGGUGCUCACGGGAUCUGAUGUGCCUAGGUCGGAUUAGCUAGUUGGUGGGGUAAAGGCGUACCAAGGCGACGAUCCGUAACUGGGCUGAGAGGAUGAUCAGUCACACUGGAACUGAGACACGGUCCAGACUCCUACGGGAGGCAGCAGUGGGGAAUCUUGGACAAUGGGCGAAAGCCUGACCCAGCCACGCCGCGUGUGUGAAGAAGGUCUUCGGAUUGUAAAGCACUUUAAGUUGGGAGGAAGAGAAGUAAGUUAAUCCAUUGCUGUUUUGACGUUACCAAAAGAAUAAGCACCGGCUAACUUCGUG
rnacentral:rRNA from 1 species